rnacentral:rRNA from 1 species
UACGUAGGUGGCAAGCGUUGUCCGGAAUUAUUGGGCGUAAAGCGCGCGCAGGCGGUCCUUUACGUCUGAUGUGAAAGCCCACGGCUCAACCGUGGAGGGUCAUUGGAAACUGGGGGACUUGAGUACAGAAGAGAAGAGUGGAAUUCCACGUGUAGCGGUGAAAUGCGUAGAGAUGUGGAGGAACACCAGUGGCGAAGGCGACUCUUUGGUCUGUAACUGACGCUGAGGCGCGAAAGCGUGGGGAGCAAACAGG